UACGUAGGGACCAAGCGUUGUCCGGAUUUAUUGGGCGUAAAGAGCUCGUAGGCGGCUCGGUAAGUCAGGUGUGAAAACUCUAGGCUCAACCUAGAGACGCCACCUGAUACUGCUGUGGCUAGAGUCCGGUAGGGGAGCAUGGAAUUCCUGGUGUAGCGGUGAAAUGCGCAGAUAUCAGGAGGAACACCAGUGGCGAAGGCGGUGCUCUGGGCCGGAACUGACGCUGAGGAGCGAAAGCGUGGGGAGCAAACAGG
rnacentral:rRNA from 1 species